rnacentral:tRNA from 1 species
CGUCGAACUGGGCGACACGGACUACCCGCCGGGUUCCGGUUCUGGCGGGUCGUUCGGCGCGGCUUCGACCG